rnacentral:rRNA from 1 species
UACAGAGGGGGCGAGCGUUGUUCGGAAUUACUGGGCGUAAAGGGCGCGUAGGCGGCCUGCUAAGUCAUACGUGAAAUCCCUCGGCUCAACCGAGGAACUGCGUCUGAUACUGGUUGGCUUGAAUUCGGGAGAGGGAUGCGGAAUUCCAGGUGUAGCGGUGAAAUGCGCAGAUAUCAGGAAGAACACCAAUGGCGAAGGCAGCUCUCUGGGACGGUACUGACGCUGAGACGCGAAAGCGUGGGGAGCGAACAGG